UCAGCUUUUUCCCUGCACAUG
rnacentral:piRNA from 1 species